rnacentral:lncRNA from 1 species
AAGGGAACUUGAACCCUCAUGGCAUCAUUUCCAUCAGGCAUUUCCUGCAGAGACCUGUUUCCCUGAACUGUAAAAAUUCCCACACAUUUGACACACACAGAAAGAGAGUAAGAGACUGCAGAUAAAAAAAAGAAGUUAUUUGAGAGAAUAAAAACUGAGGACGAGAAGCCUUGGAAAUGAAAGUAGAAAGUCCGCUCCUAUACUCACCGCUCCGAUGAGUGUUGUACCUUGGAUUUCCAGCCAAUGCACCAAAAUGAUAUGGCUCCAAUGACUGGAGAAACACCAGGGUCCUUCGUCUCCUGCCAAUUAGACAAAUGACAUGGACACACGUGGAGUAGUUUUAAGGAGUGGAAAGUUUAAUUAAGAAAGAAGAAGAAAAGCUCCCCCUGUACAGAGGAAAGGGGUACCCGAAUGGAGAAAACGCCAUGUGCAGUGGAAAAGCAGUUGGAUAUAUUGGGAGGCUGAAGGAGGUGGUGUCUGAUUUGCAUAGGGUCCAGGGAAUUGGUGUGACCAGAUGUGUCAUUCAUGUAGCCCAUGAAAAACCUGGCCCUCUCACCCUAGUCUUUUAAUAUGCUAAUGAUGGGCGCCAUGAUGUCCUGCACACGUGGUGUUAUCUGGAGAUGGCCAUGACACCUGGCACAAGUUGUGACAAGGACAAGAGAGCGGGAACGGCCCUGUUGGGUGGACCUGGUUUCUAAUCACCAGUAUUUGCAUAUCAAUGCUUGCUGGUCUGGUUUUUCAAGCUGCUUUCUGUUAGAAAAGAAAUGUUUUGGGGGUUGCUUUUUAUUAAACCAAAAUUCCACUGAGAACCAUUACCCUUUCUAGCUGCCUAAAAAUUAUUUCUUAGUAACUCCUGUAUUAACAACACUAUUUACAGUUGCAAAGUCACGAAACAAACAAAGGUGUUUAUCAAUCUUUGACUGAAUAAUGUACUAAUAGGUAAUUUGUGCAUAUACCUGCAAUACUACAUAGCUUUAAAAAACAAUGAAGACAGGCAAUUUGCAGCAACAUGGAUGGAGCUGAAGUCCAUUAUCCUAGGUGAAGUAACUGAAAGGUGAAAUAACUGAAAAUCAAAUACCACAUAUUUCCACUUGCAUGUAGGAAAUAAACAUUUAGUAUACAUGGAAAUAAAGAUGAAAAUAAUAGACACUGGGGACUCCAAAAUGGGGAAGGGUGAGAGAGGUUGAGGUUUGAGAAACUACCUAUUCCUAUUUGGUUAAUGGGUACACUACAAGCCCAAUCCCACACAGUAUGCAAUAUAUCCAUGUAACAAACAUGCAUAUGUACCCUUUGAAUCUUAAAAAUCACUAAAUUGAAAAAUAUUUAAAAAGUACAUUUAUAAAUAUUUUAUUCAUUUAACUUCUAUAAACCAGAAAGCAAGACCUCACCAGAUAUUGAAUCUGCCGCCACUUUGACCUUAAACACCCUGGCCUCCAG